AAAUUGACUUCUGGGAAAUCAUCUGUUGAUAACAAUAAUACUGACCAAGGAGAUUAGUCUAAACGAAGUUUUCGGUAAGAUAUCCUAACUUAAAGAAUGCCAAAUGGAACAGGAAGAUGAAAUGAAAAUAACUCAGUUCGUCAUAUUUAAAGGUAUGCAUCAUAAAUAAAUAUGAUAUUUGAUACACUAGUUUAUGAAAAGGUCAAAGAACGUAAGUGCAAAUAUACAGUUACGUUACACUGUGGCACACAUAUCUUUAUUACUAACUCAUGAGACAGCUAAAGAGGAUCAAAGAGGAAGUCAAUAAACAUGAUCAAACAUUAAUCACAAAAAAGCAAAGAAAAGGAAAUAACUGAAUUCAAUAAUAAUUAUGAUACAAACUUCAAAGACCUUCAAACAUAUUGAUUCAGUGUUGUUUUAGACAUAUGCACGAGGAUCUGUAUGGGGUUUAUAUAACACAGAGAAUAAUGGAUAAAAAAACAAUAUAAAAAUAGACAAGGACCAAAAAGUACAGAAUGAAAAUAUGUGCCAUGCUAGAAUAUAAAUACUUGGGAAUAAGUGGCAAAAACUGGAAUGAAGAAAAUUGCCUCAAAUGAAUAGGAGAACCCAUUUCCAGCCCCUUAUGUCAAUUACCAUGACCGUCCAAAGAGAGAAAGCCAGUUGUACGAGGACGAGGAAUAUCUUUAGUUUUAUUAUCAAACAGAAUUGAAAAAUAUGACCGUGUUUACACCACGUUGAAAAUCUUCUCUAAAUACAGACAAAUUGAUGCAUCUAGGAAUGUUUUAAUGCAUGACAGGACCUUUAGUCCUAAAUAAAAGUUAUAUGUAGUUUUAUGUUCCAUAAAUCAAAAACUUACCUGGCUUUUGUUGUGCAUUUUUUUCAGUUUGCAGACGACAGGAAAUAAACUUAACACACGAUUUACAUUUGAUAUACGGUCCACUCAGUUGCACAGUUUUAAUCACGUACUGUUUGAAGGUGUUCAUUGUUCAUCUACUGUCAUUUCAAAGCAAUACAACUGAAAACAUUUAUAAUGCAAGGGGGUCUUCUCAAACAGCCCUUUCAAAUGAAAUUGAGAAUAGAAUUGGG
rnacentral:lncRNA from 1 species